rnacentral:rRNA from 1 species
CCUACGGGUGACAGCAGUCGAGAAUCAUUCACAAUGGGGGAAACCCUGAUGGUGCGACGCCGCGUGGGGGAAUGAAGGUCUUCGGAUUGUAAACCCCUGUCAUGUGGGAGCAAAUUAAAAAGAUAGUACCACAAGAGGAAGAGACGGCUAACUCUGUGCCAGCAGCCGCGGUAAUACAGAGGUCUCAAGCGUUGUUCGGAAUCACUGGGCGUAAAGCGUGCGUAGGCUGUUUCGUAAGUCGUGUGUGAAAGGCGAGGGCUCAACCCGCGGACGGCACAUGAUACUGCGAGACUAGAGUAAUGGAGGGGGAACCGGAAUUCUCGGUGUAGCAGUGAAAUGCGUAGAUAUCGAGAGGAACACUCGUGGUGAAGGCGGGUUCCUGGACAUUAACUGACGCUGAGGCACGAAGGCCAGGGGAGCGAAAGGGAUUAGAUACCCUAGUAGUC